UCCUACGGGGGGCAGCAGUAGGGAAUCUUCCGCAAUGGGCGAAAGCCUGACGGAGCAACGCCGCGUGAGUGAUGAAGGGUUUCGGCUCGUAAAACUCUGUUAUUAGGGAAGAACAAAUGUGUAAGUAACUGUGCACGUCUUGACGGUACCUAAUCAGAAAGCCACGGCUAACUACGUGCCAGCAGCCGCGGUAAUACGUAGGUGGCAAGCGUUAUCCGGAAUUAUUGGGCGUAAAGCGCGCGUAGGCGGUUUCUUAAGUCUGAUGUGAAAGCCCACGGCUCAACCGUGGAGGGUCAUUGGAAACU
rnacentral:rRNA from 1 species